rnacentral:rRNA from 1 species
UACGGGGGGGGCAAGCGUUGUUCGGAAUUACUGGGCGUAAAGGGCUCGUAGGCGGCCAACUAAGUCGGACGUGAAAUCCCCAGGCUCAACCUGGGAACUGCGUCCGAUACUGGAUGGCUUGAAUUCGGGAGAGGGAUGCAGAAUUCCAGGUGUAGCGGUGAAAUGCGUAGAUAUCGGGAGGAACACCAGUGGCGAAGGCGACUACCUGGCCUGUUCUUGACGCUGAGGCGCGAAAGCUAGGGGAGCAAACGGG